AUUGAACGCUGGCGGCAGGCCUAACACAUGCAAGUCGAACGAGUGGCGGACGGGUGAGUAAUGUAUGGGAAACUGCCUGAUGGAGGGGGAUAACGACUGGAAACGGUAGCUAAUACCGCAUAACAUCAGAUGUGACCAGAGGGGAUUAGCUAGUGGGUGGGGUACAGGCUCACCAAGGCGACGAUCCCUAGCUGGUCUGAGAGGAUGACCAGCUACACGGGAACUGAGACACGGUCCAGACUCCUACGGUAGGCAGCAGUGGGGAAUUCUGCACAAGGCGCGCAAGCCUGAUGCAGCCAUGCCGCGUGUAUGAAGAAGGCCUUCGGGUUGUAAAGUACUUUCAGCGGGGAGGCGUUACCCGCAGAAGAAGCACCGGCUAACUCCGUGCCAGCAGCCGCGGUAAUAC
rnacentral:rRNA from 1 species